UCUCAAAUCACUGGUCUGGCUUGAAGCCUCUGGUUUCUGCUAUGCCACAGAUAAUGGACUCUCAAUGGGGUUCCUCUUAGAUAUCCUGUUGUCCUGUGUGGGCUCUCACUGGGGAUCCUCGUGGAUAACCUGUUGUCCUGUGUCAUGGAGAUCCUGCUGUUUGGGAUCUGUAGGUUUAUCCACUUCACAUGCUCCAACAGUUCAUAGAUUCAGUGGAUGCUGGGGUUGGUCAACUCAUAGCCCUGGUCCUGGGCCUGGGUGGUAUCUGGGUUGAUCAGCUUGCUAGCCUUCCCUCAUGGUUGUUACCCAGAUGAGCUCUCCAGCACUGCCUAGGCUAGCUCACCCAAUGCAGCCUACAGCAGGGAGUGGGGCCAGCUCUCCUGCUCUGGGGCUCUCAGAGCCAUGCCCCACUCACUUACAUCGACCAGGCUGCCUUCUAACUUACAGAGAUUGGCCUUCCUUUGCCUUCUCAGUGCUGGGAUGAAAGGCAUGCACCAUCACAGUGUGGAAAUAAACUCUCCCUGAAUAUCCGACAUCCCACCUACACUAGAUGACUUAGCACUGAGCCUUGGAACAACUUUGCAAGGUUCACAUCGGUUUUCUCUAUCGUAUAAGCGAGACAACCGGAGUUAGAGAGUACAACAACUCAUUUUCAGGUGCACGUCUAGUAAGCUUCAGGGCCAGAACUUGCUUGCUUCUGACUUGUCUGACGGUGAGACUUUUUGGAGAUCUGUUGGACAGAGUUGUGAGUGUCUGGUAGACCGCAGAGCACAGGAAGCAGCCGUCAGCUUGGCUGUCUGUGAGGAGAGAGAGCAGCACCCAGUGGGCUGGGCAGCAGGCUUCCUGCUCCCUCUUUGUCUCCAGAGGACAAGCCGAGCACUGCCACCCAACCAGGCCUCGCCCGUGGGCUGAAGCGGUCCUACAGGGAGAUGGAGUCUGUGCAGAGACUUCAUGCGCACUGUCACAGGGUGUGACUGGUGGCUUGACUUGAUGUCCUCGCCCACCAGAGAACAUUCCAGAAAGAGAAGAUGGUGGUUCCUGGGCUGGUUGGACAGUUUAUCCCACGUCACAGUACUUUGAAGCGUGGCCUUACUUUAGAGACUUGAUGAAGAAUGGUUCAACACACAGUGGGUGCCACCCUUCCAUGGCUGAUCUCCUUGACUUUCUACUCUCUGGAAGCGGCUCAUUCUACUGUUUGGGGAAAGACUCUUUGUCUCAAGACACAGCAAAGUGUAUGAAAAAUACUCAUCUUCAAUAUGAACAGCAUGUAGAUUCCAAACUCAACUACACUCUUUCCAUUUGUGUGAUUUUAAGAAUACUUACCAACUCAAGAUACUUAAUCUUGCUUAUCCUCAGCUUCCCCUUCUUCUUUUUAAAUUUAUUUUAUGUGCAUUGGCAUCAGAGCUCCUGGAACUGGAGUUACAGACAGGUG